rnacentral:rRNA from 1 species
GACGAACGCUGGCGGCGUGCUUAACACAUGCAAGUCGAACGGAAAGGCCCUGCUUGCAGGGUACUCGAGUGGCGAACGGGUGAGUAACACGUGGGUGAUCUGCCCUGCACUUCGGGAUAAGCUUGGGAAACUGGGUCUAAUACCGGAUAGGAGCCAUCUUUAGUGUGGUGGUUGGAAAGUUUUUUCGGUGUAGGAUGAGCUCGCGGCCUAUCAGCUUGUUGGUGGGGUAAUGGCCUACCAAGGCGGCGACGGGUAGCCGGCCUGAGAGGGUGUACGGCCACAAUGGGACUGCGGGAGGGCCCAGCUCCCUAUGGGGGACAACGGGGGGAAAUUUUGCACAAGGGGGGCGAGUCUGAGAAGGAGGUCCCCGGGGGGGAAAGAAGGCCUUCGGGGUUGAAACUCCUUUAGGUAGGGACCAAGCUUUUUUGACGGUGCCAUAAAAAAAAAGACCGGGUAACUUACGG